rnacentral:rRNA from 1 species
AACCGAAUAGGGGAGCCGGAGGGAAACCGAGUCUUAAUUGGGCGUUAAGUUGCAGGGUAUAGACCCGAAACCCGGUGAUCUAGCCAUGGGCAGGUUGAAGGGUGGGUAACACUAACUGGAGGACCGAACCGACUAAUGUUGAAAAAUUAGCGGAUGACCUGUGGCUGGGGGUGAAAGGCCAAUCAAACCGGGAGAUAGCUGGUUCUCCCCGAAAGCUAUUUAGGUAGCGCCUCGUGAAUUCAUCUCCGGGGGUAGAGCACUGUUUCGGCUAGGGGGCCAUCCCGGCUUACCAACCCGAUGCAAACUGCGAAUACCGGAGAAUGUUAUCACGGGAGACACACGGCGGGUGCUAACGUCCGUCGUGAAGAGGGAAACAACCCAGACCGCCAGCUAAGGUCCCAAAGUCAUGGUUAAGUGGGAAACGAUGUGGGAAGGCCCAGACAGCCAGGAUGUUGGCUUAGAAGCAGCCAUCAUUUAAAGAAAGCGUAAUAGCUCACUGGUCGAGUCGGCCUGCGCGGAAGAUGUAACGGGGCUAAACCAUGCACCGAAGCUGCGGCAGCGACACUGUGUGUUGUUGGGUAGGGGAGCGUUCUGUAAGCCUGCGAAGGUGGCCUGUGAGGGUUGCUGGAGGUAUCAGAAGUGCGAAUGCUGACAUAAGUAACGAUAAAGCGGGUGAAAAGCCCGCUCGCCGGAAGACCAAGGGUUCCUGUCCAACGUUAAUCGGGGCAGGGUGAGUCGACCCCUAAGGCGAGGCCGAAAGGCGUAGUCGAUGGGAAACGGGUUAAUAUUCCCGUACUUGGUGUUACUGCGAAGGGGGGACGGAGAAGGCUAUGUUGGCCGGGCGACGGUUGUCCCGGUUUAAGCGUGUAGGUGUGUGUUCCAGGUAAAUCCGGUUCACUUUAACACUGAGGCGUGACGACGAGGCACUACGGUGCUGAAGCAACAAAUGCCCUGCUUCCAGGAAAAGCCUCUAAGCAUCAGGUAACAUCAAAUCGUACCCCAAACCGACACAGGUGGUCAGGUAGAGAAUACCAAGGCGCUUGAGAGAACUCGGGUGAAGGAACUAGGCAAAAUGGUGCCGUAACUUCGGGAGAAGGCACGCUGACACGUAGGUGAAGUGAUUUACUCAUGGAGCUGAAGUCAGUCGAAGAUACCAGCUGGCUGCAACUGUUUAUUAAAAACACAGCACUGUGCAAACACGAAAGUGGACGUAUACGGUGUGACGCCUGCCCGGUGCCGGAAGGUUAAUUGAUGGGGUCAGCGCAAGCGAAGCUCCUGAUCGAAGCCCCGGUAAACGGCGGCCGUAACUAUAACGGUCCUAAGGUAGCGAAAUUCCUUGUCGGGUAAGUUCCGACCUGCACGAAUGGCGUAAUGAUGGCCAGGCUGUCUCCACCCGAGACUCAGUGAAAUUGAACUCGCUGUGAAGAUGCAGUGUACCCGCGGCAAGACGGAAAGACCCCGUGAACCUUUACUAUAGCUUGACACUGAACAUUGAGCCUUGAUGUGUAGGAUAGGUGGGAGGCUUUGAAGUGUGGACGCCAGUCUGCAUGGAGCCGACCUUGAAAUACCACCCUUUAAUGUUUGAUGUUCUAACGUGGACCCGUUACCCGGGUUGCGGACAGUGUCUGGUGGGUAGUUUGACUGGGGCGGUCUCCUCCUAAAGAGUAACGGAGGAGCACGAAGGUUGGCUAAUCCUGGUCGGACAUCAGGAGGUUAGUGCAAUGGCAUAAGCCAGCUUGACUGCGAGCGUGACGGCGCGAGCAGGUGCGAAAGCAGGUCAUAGUGAUCCGGUGGUUCUGAAUGGAAGGGCCAUCGCUCAACGGAUAAAAGGUACUCCGGGGAUAACAGGCUGAUACCGCCCAAGAGUUCAUAUCGACGGCGGUGUUUGGCACCUCGAUGUCGGCUCAUCACAUCCUGGGGCUGAAGUAGGUCCCAAGGGUAUGGCUGUUCGCCAUUUAAAGUGGUACGCGAGCUGGGUUUAGAACGUCGUGAGACAGUUCGGUCCCUAUCUGCCGUGGGCGCUGGAGAACUGAGGGGGGCUGCUCCUAGUACGAGAGGACCGGAGUGGACGCAUCACUGGUGUUCGGGUUGUCAUGCCAAUGGCACUGCCCGGUAGCUAAAUGCGGAAGAGAUAAGUGCUGAAAGCAUCUAAGCACGAAACUUGCCCCGA